rnacentral:misc_RNA from 1 species
GUGAGUCAUCGAAUCUUUGAACGCACCUUGCGCUCCUUGGUAUUCCGAGGAGCAUGCCUGUUUGAGUGUCAGUCAAUUCUCAACCCCUCCAGCCUUGGUUGGUUGGGGCUUGGAUGUGGAGGUCUUGCCGGCCACUUGUAGGUCAGCUCCUCUAAAAUGCAUUAGCGGAACUCGUUUGCGAUCCGUCACAGGUGUGAUAAUUAUCUACGCCAGUGGGUUGCUCACGGUGUUGUUCAGCUUCCAACUGUCCCACCAAGGGACUGACUUGAACGUUUGACCUCAAAUCAGGUAGGACUACCCGCUGAACUUAAGCAUAUCAAUAAGCGGAGGA